UACUUUUGACAAAGACAUAGUAGUUUUCUUCUACGUAGAUACUGUCUUUGGCCGUUGCUACUGUGCCUUGGAGAUGUCGUUGGUCUCCAGUACUAAAUACUGUAGGGGAGCAGUUACAAAGGUUCGUAGUUUCUUCGUCUACGGUGUUGUCUUUGUUGGAUGUUGCUGUUAGUGUCGUUCCACCGAAACACCGGUCUGUAGGGGAGCAGUUACACAAGUUGUUAGUUUCUUCAUUUACGUGCUUAUGUUAGUAAGAUAUUGCUACUAGUGCUAUUACUACUUCAGUAUACACUCUUUCUGUUUUGGUAGUUUCUUCAUCUACCUGGUUCUGUUAGUUAGAUGUUGCUACUAGUGCCAUUACUACUUCAGUAUAAACUUCUUCUAUGUUUACUCCUACUUAUGUACAAGAAACCACUUCUUCUCCUACUCCUUCACCUUUAACUUUAGUUCCUUCUGCUCCUUGAAGUGUUAGGACUAGGCAUACUAAAACAGAUGUCGUUGUAUGGUUUCUUGUGUGUGCAUCUAUGUUGACUGUAAGCUUGUUGACCAUAAAUGUGGAAAGCUCGAGUACCAGUCUAGAUAGUGUUGUAUGUGAGUAAACCAUUAUCAGUGAGUCUAGGUUUCGUAUACCUCGAUAUGAAGAUGCUACUACUAGGUUCGAAUCUCGUAGCCAUGGCGGUGACAGCGCUCCGUUACUUUUAGGGUUUCUUCCUAUGUGUUCUCCUUCUACAACCACGACUUUUAUAGUUAUUACUACUACUAGGUCUACGAUACCGAAAUCAAUCUUUUAUACCUUUCGGCCUACAUAAGGAGUGUUACUGGACGUUGGGGUUGACCCUUCUCUAGUGUGCACUUGAUGUCAAGCCUGUUUGUGGUGUUCUAGCGGGUCUGUAACAUCAAGCACAGAAGUCCCGGUUCGAUCUUCUUUACUUCUUCGUUGAUAAACUCUUCCGGUAAGAACCUUUCCAAGUCCGUAUAUGUAUACAGCAUCUCAAGGUUUUCUCCCCUGAUGGGGCACGAGUGAAAAACGAGUAGUACUGGCCCUUUAUGUUUAUGUGUACAGGCCUUGUCAUACUGUCUUAAUAGAGGCGACUCGAGGGACUGUUCGUGUUCAUGGGCCUCGAUGUGUUUUACCAUCAGUUUGUAUACUACGUAACAGGAACGCCACGUAACUUAUUUAAAACAGGUACGUGUUUCUUAGCAGGCAGUACGUUCUUAUUAAUAGGUUCCGGUAAAUUGCUUUGAUGCUAAGUUCCGUUCCUGAGGAUGGGUGAAAUAUCCUCUGCGUUACUACCAGGCUGACUUUACCAGGCGUUAACGGUUGAUCUAUUAUCCACCCAACAAGGAAUGUUGGGGAUAGACAAUUCCUACAAGUUGACGGUGUAUUUAUAACUCUAUACGAGUUCGUAAUUUCGGCAAUUCAUGGAGAAGUUCAUGUAGAUGUUCCCAGUACUGGCUCGUAGACACAGUCAUUGACUGUUUCACCUGCUUCAGCUUUAGCUGCUCUAAUUUGUUAUGUCUCUGCGUGCCACCCACUGCGGAGGCCUUCGUGACACCUCUUAUAUACCGAAACUUGAUUCGUUUUACGUGGGUGGACAGAACGUUGACGUCGAUGUAGAGGGUUUAUACGUGUACCAAAGUAUAGUACCAUACCUUUUUUAUUUCUUACAAUAGUUGGCACUACCGUGUCUUUCUAGUUAUAACUGUCGCAUGAAACUUCGUUUGUCGAAUAUACUCUUUCGUGCUCCGUAUGAUAUGUUUCUGAAAGGUGUUAUAAUAUGAACCGUUUCUGCUCCCUUCAAAACCGUUCUCUCCUUCGCUCGGCGACACAAGGUCCAACCGUCCUAGCAGAGUCGUGUGGACCGACUUCCUCUUGCUAUGAUAGAAGCUCAAGAGGAUUUGGUGCACUGUCCGCGGUGGUCGAUGCUUCUGGAUGCUUGUCAGCUACCUGUUCAUUACGGUUGGAAGGCACUUCGACGUCUUUUUGCCCCCGAGUAACUCCGUCUGUUGUGUGAUCUACUAACGUACUGUCUUCGACUCAACAAAGCCUACGGUAGUAGCGAGUCUUCCGUUACAGUCUUCUGAUGUCGUCUUUGACGUUUACGUUCGUGUGCCAGUUUGUCUACCAAGCCUUUUUAUAGUCUGUACAACGUGAGUUACCCCUUUCUGUAUCUUAGCAAAGGAGAAGGUCUAUAGCUGUUUGUCGUACUCUGCUGUCUGCUGUAUGGAUCCCUCUAGUAACUCCUCUGGAGGUAGCUCCACCUGGGACUCCUGCGUAGCAACGUAUUUUUGGAGUUGUUGCUCGUCUCCUUCCGGAUGCUGCUUUAGGAUCGGUGCCAACUGGCGGUUUCUCCUCCAUAUAAGAAACAGCUACCCGGCCCUCCGUGUCCUUUUUGAAAAGAAAUGUCCCGCGAAAACCGGUGUCACGCGCCUGUUCCGUUCUAACGACACCGCUGCCGGUGAAGGCCACAACGACGAAGGUAUUACGGACCUCCCUCUUGGCGUGUGAGCUCCAAAUUCUAAGGUGAUUUUUAUCUGUUACCUCGAUAAACAUCCAAGUGUUUUGUUUCACCCUGUCCUUUCGAUGAGGUUCGUCGUAGUGAUUAUGAGACCCUACUUCGUAGAUACUGAUUCUCCGUCUGUCACCUCCGCAAUCUGUUUUCGUACGCCCUGUAUUGCCUGUCUGGUCUAGAAGUUAAACCACCUUUUUGAUAACAUAAACCCCCUCUAAAAUCUGUUCACGAUGGAUAACAGGCCUUCCCUUGGUCUCGGGUUUAUCAUCUACGUAGUGACGCGUCCAGUCUCGAGACCUUAACGUACGCAGUUAACUUCGAACAUGCGUUGUACUCCCGAGUUUUGCUGAGAACCAAGCGUCUUAUGGAUGAUGCGUAACCCUUGCCUUGGCUCCUCUGUUUACUACUACCACUUUAUGAUGAUGGAUGUUCGUAUACACACGGUUUAUUCUGCCUACUAUUACCGGAGCUAUCUGAGUAGUUGUCAUAGAUGGUUUGUCCGUUACGAAGUGAUUUUCUAGGUUUCAUGUAGUAUAGUUCUCGUUAAAAUAGGUGUUCCUUGCUAACGCAUCUGUUUUAGUUGGAUUUUUACUAACUAGCGAAGGUCCCCCUCCUCUACCACAUGGUGUCGAAACUAAGACAUCUUCUGCUGGGUGUAUUGAUGAUAGGUGGUCUUAAGGAUUUGUGGGAUUGGGGUUUACCUGACGGAGGCGUAUACAACUUCGAGUUUUAAUUAACAGGUUAGUAUGAUGAGUCCUUGUAGCUGGGACGAUUACCUGAGACGUUACCGUGCUCCAACCAGCAUGCACCAAAAGUUUUUUUAUGUUAACUACGUCUCUAACACUCGUUGGCGCUGUAGUUUGUAUUUCAGAGUUUUUCUGGGCACCGGAAGUGACGACAUCGUUAUGUUUGUCGUCGUGGUUGUGGUUAGUGUCCACCUAGUUGAGGUUGACGUCGACGAUCCCUAGAACCACGUGUCCAACUUGUGCCACCGUUCCCUUGGUCUGCUGUUCCCGUAUAACCAUGAUUCAAGCAACGACGUCACGUCAUGUACCUUUCUCUCCUGUCCCCGCUCUCACCCCCACCUGGAGGUACCGUGGUCGUCGUCAUGCAGCCUCCUCGAGCCUCGUCACCUCGGCAGAGGAGCGGGGAGCGUCCCGGAGCAGCCGCCGCUCGUCCUGGUGCGGCACCUUGUUAGACGUAGGUUGAGGAGGAGAUGGCCGGUCCUCGGGCGACGUAGGCGCGCUCCUUCGCGACACCUCCCGUGCUGCCAUGUCGGUGUAGGAAGCACGGGAGUAGGAGGCUCUUGCUGCUCUUCUGCCCUCCGCCGCCGCGGCGGCGAACCGGUCGUGGUCCUCUCUUUUACCCCUUGCCCUUCUCUAUAGCUCAAGGAAGCAUAGUGUAUCCCGGUCUUUUAAACGCAACCCGGUGCCCGGCGGCGGAUGGGCCGAGGUCGGCUUGCGCGCGGCCGGCGAGACCGUGCCGCCGCCAGGCGUUAGGAGAUUAAGUAGAAUAGGUUUGAGGAAGGAAAGGUCGCUGCCGCCUCGUGCCCGUCCACUGCCCGCCGCGGGAACAGCAGCCUGCCGAUGUUGGCGCCACCUCCUCUUCCGUCUGCAGCACCCACGCACGAACCCAUUCCCUCCGGUGGGAACGACACGAGCACCCGCAAGUACCUCCUACCUUCCCCCCUGUCGAAGGACACCCACGCGGCCGACACGAGCACCCGCAAGUACCUCCUACCUUCCACCCUGUCGUAGGACACCAUUCCCAGGAGCCGGCCUUAGAGGUAGUCCAGCACGGGACCCUGGUAUUAGAGGUAGUAGGGCAGCUUUAACGUUAAAAACUGGUUUGCAGGUUACAGUGGCGGUUCAAGCGGCCUCCUUUUUCGCGGCUCAAGCGGCCUCCUUGUUCUUGUAGGCAGCUCGGCACGUUACAGAGGAUACCUCCGAUGUGCUCUCUUACCCUACGCGGCAGCGGCGGCGGUCGUGCCAGGGUUGUCGACGGCGCUCAGAGGUGCUAGCUGCAGCGGCAGGCAGACACGGGGCUCGAGCUGCCAAGAGGCCGACUGUUCGUAAGCAAGUACAGGGGCGGUCACAAUCCGCAACGAGCGGUGGCGGGGUCUAGCGAAAGCACGCAGUAGCGGCGGGGUUCGAGGUACUCGAUU
rnacentral:rRNA from 1 species